CCUGGGGUGGAUGGAACCCAGCAAUCAAUGGUUUGGCUGUUCUCUCCAUGGCCCAUCGACCAGGUGCAGACCUCCCCAGCUGUGGAGAUUUGGCUGUUGUCUUGAGGGUGUCUCAUGCGCCAGCAACCACAACAAAAUGAGGAAAAGAAGGGGCAGCUACUGGUGAAGUUACUGAGUAACAGCCUCCCAGGAAACAGCGUUCACUAGGGCUCCAUCCUGAGAACGGCUGAGACUGUAAGACCCAAUCAACAGGGUGCUUUUUUUUGUUUGUUUUUUGUUUUUUGUUUUUUGUUUUUACGAGACAGGGUUUCUCUGUAUUGUUUUGGAGGCUGUCGUUCCAGCCUAGCCUCGAACUCACAGAGAUCCGCCUGCCUCUGCCUCCCGAGUGCUGGGCUUAAAGGCGUGUGCCACCACCGCCCGGCUCAACAGGGUUCUUGAUUGUGCUGGUUUCAAUGUAAAACACCCUUAGCCUCAUGUGUUUAGAAACUUGGUCACCAGCUAGCAACAUUGCUUUGGAAGGUUGUGGAACCUAGGAGGUGAAAUCUUGAGGAGAAAGUGGGCCAGCGGAACAUGUCUUGAGGUUUUAUUAAAGGCUUGGGACACUGCUUCCUGACUUCCUGGAAAUGUGACCAGGUCUGUCAUAUUUCUGUUGCCACACCUUUCCAUGAUGUAGUGGACUGUGUCCCUUCCAUCUGUAAGCCCAAACAAGCCCUUUCUCUAUUGAGUUGUAUCCUGUCAGGCCUUUAGUUACACAACAAGAGAAGUAACUAAUAUACCAGCCAUUUUCCUUUCUAAACUUCUUUGGGUCUACUUUCCUCAGAAAAAUGGCAUUAAUGAUGUCAGCCUUACAGCUUGUCUGGUGAAAUAAAAAUACUUUUAAUGUA